rnacentral:rRNA from 1 species
CGGGGUGCAGCAGGCGCGAAAACUCUACAAUGCAGGCAACUGCGAUAGGGGAACAUCGAGUGAUCCUCAUAUUGGGGGUCUGUCCCACCGUCUAAAAAACGGUGGUUAGCAAGGGCCGGGCAAGACCGGUGCCAGCCGCCGCGGUAAUACCGGCGGCUCGAGUGGUGGCCGAUAUUAUUGAGUCUAAAGGGUCCGUAGCCGGCUUUGCAAGUCUCUCGGGAAAUCCAGCGGCUUAACCGUUGGUCGUCCGGGGGGUACUACAUUGCUUGGGACUGGGAGAGGUAGGAGGUACUCAGGGGGUAGGAGUGAAAUCCUGUAAUCCUCUGGGGACCACCGGUGGCGAAGGCGUCCUACCAGAACAGGUCCGACGGUGAGGGACGAAAGCUAGGGGCACGAACCGGAUUAGAUACCCGGGUAGUCCUAGCCGUAAACGAUGCUCGCUAGGUGUCACAACAGUCGUGAACUGUUGUGGUGCCGUAGGGAAGCCGUGAAGCGAGCCACUUGGGAAGUACGACCGCAAGGUUGAAACUUAAAGGAAUUGGCGGGGGAGC